UAAAUACUCCCUCCGUUCGGAAUUACUUGUCGCAUAAAUGAAUGUAUCUAGAUGUAUUUUACUUCUAGAUACAUCCAUUUUCGAGACAAGUAAUUCCGAACGGAGGGAAUAUAAG
rnacentral:pre_miRNA from 1 species